ensembl:lncRNA
CCCCAUCUGCACUGCACACGUUUGUCUGCUCUGCUGCGUGGUCCCUACUGCUGUCAGCACACCCACAGGGCCCCGAGGUCUCCAGCACAGCCUGGGACCUCCAGGGAUUUAAUUCUCUGAAACUGAACCGGGCAUUCUUUGGUACCUUCCACGUUUUCAACGACCUCAUCAAUUGGGAGGCCCAAAACUGGACAGCAGGAUUGCACACAGCAUCAUGCACUGGGAGAUAAUCAUAGAAUUACAGAAUGGUUUGGCUUGGAAUGGAUCCCAAAGCCCACCCAGCUCAAAGCCGACCCAGGGCUGCCACCCACCAGCUCAGGCUGCCCAGGGUCCCAUCCAACCUGGCCCUGUAUGCUUCCAGGGAGGGGGCAUCCACAGCUUCUCUGGGCAGCAGUGCCAGCACCUCACCGCCCUCUGAGUAAACAAUUUCUUUCUACCAUCUAACCUGAAUCUUCCCUCUUUUCGCUAAAAGCCACUCCACCUUGACCUAUCACUAUCAGACUGUGUAAAAAGCUGGUCCCCCUCCUGUUUAUAAGCUCCCUUCAAGUACUGGAAUGCCACGAUGAAGUGUCCUGGGGCCUUCUCUUCUCCAGACUGAACAAGCCCAGCUCCUUCAGCCUGUCUUUGUAGGAGAGAGAGGUGUUCCAGCCCUCUCAUCAUCUUCAUGGCCUCCUCUGGACCUGCUCUAAUAGCUCUAUGUCUUUCUUGUGCUGGGGCCCCAGACCUGGAUGCAGUGCUCCAGAUGGGACCUUACAAGGGCAGAGUAGACGGGGACAGUGAUCUCUCUUACCCUGCUGGCCCCCUCCUCUUUUGAUGCAGCCCCUUGAUUUGUUGGCCACCUGCUUCCUGACAUAGGCCAGCCUGUGCUAUGCCCUGUUUGCAACAAGAACGCUGUUCACCCAUCUUCAGCUUGGCAUCCACAGUAAGCACUAUCCAUAUAGCAGGGCUGCUGUAUGGUUUCCAGCCUCUGUUGUACACUCUUGUAUAAGCAGCUUUCCUGU